rnacentral:tRNA from 1 species
AGCUCCAUAGUGUAGUGGUUAGCACGUCUGUUUUACACACAGAAGGUCCUGGAAUCGUGUCCCAGGUGGAGCCA